CCAAUUGUCAAUUCUUGAGCAACUCAAGUAUUUUUUGUAAGUUUUGCCAACAUUAUGGUGUGGUGUAAGUAAAACACUAUAAAACAACAAGAACAUCUGGGUUUAGGUAGGUGGUGAGUCAAUACAGUAGCUACAAGUCAACUUUACGCAGACAGUAUGAAGAAGAUCUAUGACACCUAUCUUUUUGCCCUUGUUCUAACUUUGAUCUCAGUGAUCUUCAUAUCACUGGCAAAUGGACAAGAUCAAGACUCAGUAGACUCAGGCUCUGUGGAUGUUCCUGACGAUUCGGAAUCACAACCUAUAACACUAGACUACAUUUAUACCCAGGGUAAAAAUUCAUAAAAUGAAUACUUAAAUAAAGUGCAAUAUACUGGUU